GACCAAGUCACCCAGGGUCAGAUACUGAGGCUGCCCGCAAACUCACUCCUCCAGCAUUCCAGUAUGUUCUUCUGGGAAGGGAGAGCCGAGUGGUGCACCAUCAUUUCUGCCCCAUCUGAUGGAUCUUUGGAAAAAGUAUCUGCACUCCAACUCAAUUCCAUCCUGCAGGAACUCUGUGUCACAGCUCCCUGGGGCUACUUACUGAUAACACCCAGGUCCUCUCCUUGGAGAUCUCUCCUGUCAGAGCUCACUUGGCCAGUACCAUAGAUGAAAGGCAGGGAGUUGGCAGCUAAAGCCCCAGCAUCCCUCAGCCUCAACUGCCA
rnacentral:lncRNA from 1 species